GUCCACGCUGUAAACGAUGAGUGCUAGGUGCUGUGGGUAUUGACCCCCGCGGUGCCGCAGCUAACGCGUUAAGCACUCCGCCUGGGGAGUACGGCUGCAAGGCUAAAACUCAAAGGAAUUGACGGGGGCCCCGCACAAGCGGUGGAGCAUGUGGUUUAAUUCGACGCAACGCGCAGAACCUUACCUGGGUUAAAUCCACUCGAACUUAGCAGAGAUGCUUUGGUGCCUUUCGGGGAGCGAGUGAGAAGGUGCUGCAUGGCUGUCGU
rnacentral:rRNA from 1 species